UACGAAGGGGGCUAGCGUUGCUCGGAAUCACUGGGCGUAAAGGGUGCGUAGGCGGGUUUUUAAGUCAGAGGUGAAAUCCUGGAGCUCAACUCCAGAACUGCCUUUGAUACUGAAAGUCUUGAGUAUGGGAGAGGUGAGUGGAACUGCGAGUGUAGAGGUGAAAUUCGUAGAUAUUCGCAAAGAACACCAGUGGCGAAGGCGGCUCACUGGCCCAUACUGACGCUCGUGACACGGGAAAG
rnacentral:rRNA from 1 species